GCCUUUUCUUUUAAAGAAGGAAGCCCAGUUUAUUUGUUAAACACUGUUUUUCCUGGGCUAAAAGGAAGGAACUUUUUUACUACAGUUUUAGCAAAACAAAUACUGUUCCAAGAAAUAUUUACUAAAAUAUCCUCCUCUGCAGUUCUGAGGAGUUAGAAAUAAUAAGCCUGAGGAGUUAGAAAUAAUCUUUCUUGCUGUUAUCUGUUUUACCAGUGUGUGAUCUAUAUCUCUGUGUGCUUUAUCUUUUUAGGUAGUUGUAGAAAUCUCCCUCCUUGCUGUGUAUGACAUUUUUUUUUUCUCUAUUCUUGUCUUGCUGCUUUUGAGUGUUUAAACUUGGUAAGCAAGAGAGCUGACUUUUACACUAUUGGGUGGUUGACCUUUCUGGCAAAGAAAUGGAGGGUUUAUAACAGAUUUUAUGUGUAUACUUUUGAACUGUGUAAGAUAGCUCAAAAUAAUGUGUGAUAGAUACAGUGUACUGUAAAGGGUAAGCUUAUGUUUCAGGGUAUACCACCAACAUUCAUAAUCACAUUAUCCUCUGUAAAUUUGUAUUUCUGCUGACAUUUUGCCAUUUGAAACUUUAUUCAUUUCCCUAUGGUGUUUUGCAUUUGUUUUAUAAAUGGCAUGUGCACAAACCAAUGCCAUGGUCUAGAAGAAAGGGAAAAAGUAUCUAAUAUUAAGCCCUAAAGGCAUCUGUUCAGUAACCUGUAUCUGAGAGUAAAGCAACCAUGCUGCCAUCUGUUAUAUUUUCUGUUUGAUGGCUAUUGCCCUCAUUGUAGGUUAUUGCAGGUCUCAAAGGGCUAUGCUCACUUUGCCUUUGAGCCAUUUUCUAGAGAAUAAAAAAUAUUUUGCAUUUUCUCCUGUCACUGCACAAGCUGUAUUGAAAAGAUUGCUUCAAUUACGAGAGCACUUAUGUUAUUUUUAAGGAGAAUUGAUUUUGUUUUCAUGUAGUAUAGAUGAAAGAGAGCUCUCUGAGAGGCUUUUAAAAUGUGAUGUUGUUGCCUUGCAUGACUUAGCUUAAUGGUAUGACAUUAUUUACUAUUUAUUUCAGAUAUUUAGUCCAGAAAAACCUCUCUGAGCAGCUCUUUGUUACCUGUACACAGCAAAAGGAAGGCAUUAUUUAGAGCUGAAUGUUAAAAACCAAAAAAAUAACUUGCGUAGCAGUUGUUUGUUCUUUUCAGUCUUGUUCCAGCCACUAAUGUGUCGUGAUCUUUGUCAGAGUAAGUCAGAUGUUUUAUGAAGAAAAAAGCAACUCUCUUUUCUCACUAUUUUCAUGGUUCUGCUGAGUGUGAAAGGUGCAAUACACUGCUGUGAUCCUUUUCAGAUAGUAAUUUCAUUUCUUUGCCAAGACUAACAAGCAGGUAAGUAGAAACCCACACACUUCACCUGCCAAUGCCUGCAUUUAAACUGCAGCUUUUCUCUGAAGCAGAAUUGUCCUCACUUUUCUGAGUGAAAAAAAAAAAAAAAUUAACCAUGAGACUGUAAGGAUGAAAUUUAUUUUUGAGGUAAGUAAUAAUCCAGAAUUUCUGAGCCCUUAGUUCAUGAAAUGACAAAUGAAUAUGAAAAAUCUGUUCCUUACUUAUUUUUUUAAGAUAACAAAAUGAAAACCCCUCCAACAUGAAUGGUUUGUUAAAACUAGCCAGUCUUAGGGGGGGCAAAAUAUUCCUAGAUUGAACAAUAACAUUUAAUGAGCCUGGGAUAGGGGUAUCUGUAGUAUUUUUUUUAAAGAAUUCUCUCCAAGAAUUAGAAUCUGAAUGCUUUGGAAGGUUCCAUUGUAAAUUCAGGGUUUUCAACUCCAUACUUUAACUUGGUACUUGCAACUCAGUGCUGUGGGGAGUAGGAGGGGUGAGGAACAGCAGACAUUUUAACUCAGAUCACAAAGGCAAUGUCCUGGGCCAGUCCCAUGGUUGUUCACCACUCACUGAAUUCCUACAGGAGUGGCUGUAAUUGGAAGCAAAAUAUUAUGACAGCCUUCAAAGUAUCAUUUAGCAUAUUUUUUAUAUACUAGAGCAUGUAGUAACAGGACAAGGGGGAAUGGCUUAAAACUGAAAGACAGGAGGCUUACACUGGAUAUUAGAAUAAAUGCUUUACUGUGAGGGUGGUGAGGCACUGACAAAGUUCCCGGAAGUUAUCAAGGCCAUGUUGGGACUGCAGCCUGGUCUGGUGGAACGUGUGCCUGCCCAUAGUAAAGGGGUUGGAACCAGAUGGUCUUUAAGGUCCCUUCCAACCAGGCCAUUCUAUGAUCUGUGAUGUCAUUUAACAAUUGAAAACAAAGAUGACAAUCAGCAUCCCAUAAUGCAUUUAAUGUUUGCCCAGCUAGAUACAGGAAUUAAACUAGCAAAUACAUUUUGAGUUGCAGUUUACCAACAAGCAAUAUGGGCCAUCUUCCUGCAUAUUCUAUCUUGUGAUCUCCUACCUGAAGAAAGGAAUUGUGAAUAUUUUAAAAUAGUUCCUGUUUUUUAAGUUUGUGUGAAAGCGAUUGCAGCAUUACUGGCGCUUCUUUAAAUGAGGUGUGCAGUGUCUGUGAGGUGAGCAAUAGAUGAGGUUAACCAAUAUCCUUCCAGAUGGAACUCUCACCUCUCUUUGUUUCAUCUGUUGUGAAUGCUUUCCUGUAAUUUAAAAUGGUAUUUCAGGUUUCAGCUCAGAGAUUUUUGUAUCCUGAAGAGCAAAGGAGAAGACAAGCUUGUUUGCAGGGGGGAAAGAAAGCAGAUGACCUUGCAGCAGGUCUUGGAAAAGGGCAAUAGAGGUGAAAGCACCUGUCUGAGGUGGACCAGGCACCUGUGUGUUAUGUGUUUAAUCCCUGUGAAUUUACUAGAGGAGAAGUAUGAAGUGUUGGGAAUUUAAUUAGAUGUAGCAUUGAGUUAGAGUGAGCUUAGGGGCUGAUCAUUUCUUGGCCAAAAUGUAAUAAACCUGGGAUAAUCUUGAGAAAAAAAGAUAAGAAUUGGUAAAUCUCUUGAACAUCUGAAGUAUUGACUCAGUUUCAGAGAUAUUUCCUUGUAUUUUCCCACAAAAAAUGGUACUUUUGAAUUCCACCUUACCAAAGAGUUUAAGUGAAUCUUAGUGUAUCAAACUUUUCCUCAUACUAUUUGUAAAUUUUUACAUUUUAGUGUGAAGUUGAAAGGUAAUAAACAGACAUAACUAUUUAUCCCUGUAGUGUUGCAAUAUGCAAAUUUUGAAUUUUAGCCUCUUUCAGCUGCAGGAGUGGCUGUUGGGUGACCAUUUCUCCUUCAGACACACAGGGGGGCACUUUGCAGAAAGCUGUCAUUAGGAGUGGAAGCAGAAGACACCUGGAGAAACGUGUUGUGUUGCUCAGAGUAAUUUUACUCAUAUUCCAUAAGCAAAGGAGGAAGCUGUAUGUCUGAGGAAGUGACAAAGGCGUUUGCAAGGAGUGGGAAAAGAGACCCUGAAGAGUCUUUAUAAUUGUACUAGGAUAGAGAAGGAAAGAGCUAGGUGCUUGUGCCUUCUGCUCCUCCAGCAAGUUUUUGAAAGCAGCCUUUUCAGUAAGUCACUGCUUCUUCUGUGUUACUGAAGAGGAGGAAACUUUGCUCUGACAAGGGAGUCCUUAGGAACGUUUGAAAUGGUGUGUGGCAAGUUGUUUCUUAACAGCUCAGACAGAAUGAAGGUGAGGCGAUUGUAGACACGUGGGUGUCUGACAGUGCAUGGACUCAGCACGGCUGCGUGCUGUGCCCUGGAGUCCCAGCUGCCAGGACUGUGACACCACCAGAGUCGCUGCCACCUUUAUUAACCAAACCAUCUGUCACUGUCGGAUAAACCUGCGGAUUCUUUUCCUGAGACAACAGACAGCUUCCAAAAAUCAACAAGACCUGAUUACUCAGUGUGACAAAGCCAACAUGCUCUUGGGGACAGCAUCUUAUUUGAUGUGUUUAAGUAUCACAUACAGGCUCAAAACACAGGGAAAAAAAUAAUUGGUCCUGCUCCCAGAAAUGUUUGCUAAGUUAAAAGCUUUUCAAGCUGCUGGAGGUAGCAAAAUAAAAUCUUUCUCAAAGGAAGCUAUUUUU